CCUACGGGAGGCAGCAGUGGGGAAUAUUGGGCAAUGGGCGCAAGCCUGACCCAGCAACGCCGCGUGAAGGAAGAAGGCUCUCGGGUUGUUAACUUCUUUUCUCAGGGACGAAGCAAGUGACGGUACUUGAGGAAUAAGCCACGGCUAACUACGUGCCAGCAGCCGCGGUAAUACGUAGGUGGCAAGCGUUAUCCUGAUUUACUGGGUGUAAAGGGCGUGUAGGCGGGAAAGUAAGUCAGAUGUGAAAACCAUGGGCUCAACCUGUGGCCUGCAUUUGAAACUGUUUGACUUGAGUACUGGAGUGGCAGACGGAAUGCGUGGUGUAGCGGUGAAAUGCGUAGAUAUUGAGAGGAACACCCGUGGCGAAGGCGGGCUGCUGGACAGCAACUGACGCUGAGGCGCGAAGGCGAGGGGAGCAAACAGGAUUAGAUACCCGAGUAGUC
rnacentral:rRNA from 1 species